CGUGUAGGCGGGUAGACAAGUCAGAUGUGAAAUACCGGGGCUCAACUCCGGGGCUGCAUUUGAAACUGUAUAUCUUGAGUGUCGGAGAGGAAAGCGGAAUCCCUAGUGUAGCGGUGAAAUGCGUAGAUAUUAGGAGGAACACCAGUGGCGAAGGCGGCUUUCUGGACGAUAACUGACGCUGAGGCGCGAAAGCGUGGGAGCAAACA
rnacentral:rRNA from 1 species